rnacentral:rRNA from 1 species
GUCGGGAAUAUUGCGCAAUGGAGGAAACUCUGACGCAGUGACGCCGCGUAUAGGAAGAAGGUUUUCGGAUUGUAAACUAUUGUCGUUAGGGAAGAGAAAGGACAGUACCUAAGGAGGAAGCUCCGGCUAACUACGUGCCAGCAGCCGCGGUAAUACGUAGGGAGCGAGCGUUAUCCGGAAUUAUUGGGUGUAAAGGGUGCGUAGACGGGAAUACAAGUUAGUUGUGAAAUCCCUCGGCUUAACUGAGGAACUGCAACUAAAACUAUAUUUCUUGAGUGCAGGAGAGGUAAGUGGAAUUCCUAGUGUAGCGGUGAAAUGCGUAGAUAUUAGGAGGAACACCAGUGGCGAAGGCGACUUACUGGACUGUAACUGACGUUGAGGCACGAAAGUGUGGGGAGCAAACAGG